rnacentral:misc_RNA from 1 species
GAUGAAGAACGUAGCGAAAUGCGAUAAGUAAUGUGAAUUGCAGAAUUCAGUGAAUCAUCGAAUCUUUGAACGCACAUUGCGCCCCUUGGUAUUCCGAGGGGCAUGCCUGUUCGAGCGUCAUUACACCACUCAAGCUAUGCUUGGUAUUGGGCGUCGUCCUUAGUUGGGCGCGCCUUAAAGACCUCGGCGAGGCCACUCCGGCUUUAGGCGUAGUAGAAUUUAUUCGAACGUCUGUCAAAGGAGAGGAACUCUGCCGACUGAAACCUUUAUUUUUCUAGGUUGACCUCGGAUCAGGUAGGGAUACCCGCUGAACUUAAGCAUAUCAAUAACGGAGGA